GAGUGCAGAAGAGGAGAGUGGAAUUCCACGUGUAGCGGUGAAAUGCGUAGAGAUGUGGAGGAACACCAGUGGCGAAGGCGACUCUCUGGUCUGUAACUGACGCUGAGGAGCGAAAGCGUGGGGAGCGAACAGGAUUAGAUACCCUGGUAGUCCACGCCGUAAACGAUGAGUGCUAAGUGUUAGGGGGUUUCCGCCCCUUAGUGCUGCAGCUAACGCAUUAAGCACUCCGCCUGGGGAGUACGGUCGCAAGACUGAAACUCAAAGGAAUUGACGGGGGCCCGCACAAGCGGUGGAGCAUGUGGUUUAAUUUGAAGCAACGCGAAGAACCUUACCAGGUCUUGACAUCCUCUGACAACCCUAGAGAUAGGGCUUUCCCUUCGGGGACAGAGUGACAGGUGGUGCAUGGUUGUCGUCAGCUCGUGUCGUGAGAUGUUGGGUUAAGUCCCGCAACGAGCGCAACCCUUGAUCUUAGUUGCCAGCAUUUAGUUGGGCACUCUAAGGUGACUGCCGGUGACAAACCGGAGGAAGGUGGGGAUGACGUCAAAUCAUCAUGCCCCUUAUGACCUGGGCUACACACGUGCUACAAUGGACAGAACAAAGGGCUGCGAGACCGCAAGGUUUAGCCAAUCCCACAAAUCUGUUCUCAGUUCGGAUCGCAGUCUGCAACUCGACUGCGUGAAGCUGGAAUCGCUAGUAAUCGCGGAUCAGCAUGCCGCGGUGAAUACGUUCCCGGGCCUUGUACACACCGCCCGU
rnacentral:rRNA from 1 species